rnacentral:lncRNA from 12 species
AAGGCCUGGAGCUGGGGUCCCUGGUGCUCCGGGAACAGUGAUGGGGAGGAGUGAGGUGCAGAGGACCCAGCAAAGGGGAGAGGGAUCGAGGAGGAUCCACCAGGCGGGACUCUGGGCUUUUACCUCGAGGGUGCAGUCAGUAGGAUCCGACGGUUCUAACAGGCACAGUCGGGCUGCGGUGCAGGGAAUGGGUCUGGGAUGGGGUUGGGGGGCCGUUGGGAUGGGGGUUGCAAGGUAGGAGUGGGGACACUGGGGAAGCUACUGCAGAACCUGGGUGAUGGUGUUUUUCCAGCCGAGGUGAGGACGCGCAGCACCUUCUACAUCUCUGCCGCCCGAAAGGCAGAGCCAGCAGCUCGUGGGCCAGCCCUUGGGAAGGCUGUGGCCUCUUGGCGGGAAUGUCACUGAGCCUGGACCGUGGGCUAGAUGAGGAAUUUCUCCCCCAGGUGCAUCCAGGAAAACGAAGACCAAGAGGUGGCCGGUCUCAGGAGGUCCAGCCUCGCAGCUUCCCCGCCUCCUCGUCGUCUACCUCUGCAGGUGGAGGUGCCUCUCACAGGGCGAACCCCUACCCUCCGGACCAGUAUGUGCUAGAGCAUCUCUGGCGCUUCCUGGGACAAGGGCAGAAGGAAGAGCCUGGAAUCCUGGAGCCCAGAAAACCCAGUUCCAGGAGGCGAGGAACUCCUGGGAUGCAGUAGGAGCAUCUUUAGGAGGCAAGAAGCAGCGCGGCUCCUCAGGACUCGGAGGAAGAAGGAGAGAGGCUCCCAGCAGGACCCAGCAGGCCGGCUGGAGGCAGAGCUCCACAGCCACCUGCAGGAUGGGAGCUGGCUUGCAGGGCCAGGCUCUGCCAGAGCUUGGAGAGCAUCUGAGAAAGGAGUCAGCCCAGACGCUGAUUGCCAGUUAAGUCUACCUCCCGCAAGGGCAAGUGUACUUGGCCAGGAGACCAUGCCCUCCCAGCUCCUAAGGAUGAAUUUUCCAUCCUUGAAUUACUUUUCCUUCCCCCCCCCCCUUUUUUUUUAUUUAAAUAAGUAAGAUCCACCCUGUGUGUGGAGCCCAACACGGGUCUUGAAUUCCCAACCCUGACAUCAAGACCCGAGCUGAGAUCAAGAGUCGAACACUUAACCCACUGAGCCACCCAGGCACCCCUCCAAGGUUGACUUUCUGGUGUCAGCUGGAGGGGAGAACAUAUCCUUAUGUACAAUUCCUCCAGUCACUCCCAGUAGAAAGCUUUUCUGGGUUCUAUUUUUGCAGCCUUUGCCCUGCCCAGUUUUGGGGGACCACUCUAGAGUCCUUUAUAACCCCUGGUGUCACAGCAUGGGGUGGGGGCGGUGGUCCUGGGCUGACCUAGGCUCUCAGCAGCCCAGGCCAGCAGCGGGGAGGGGAUGGAACCGAGCUGGUGGGCCCGGGAGUGGGAAGUCAGGAGAAGAGCAGGCCAGAGCCCACGUCCUGGGGGUCCUGGGGAAGGAUGAGGGUCAGCGGAGAGGAGCAGAAUAAAUCAAAACCCUGUUUUUACGGGUACA